GACAGUGCCACUGCACUCUAGCCUCAGUGACGUGAGUGAAAUUCCAUCUCAAAAAUAAAAAUAAGAAAACUCCAAUGAACUAAAUGAACUAAGGAACAAUUUCCUGUUCUAGCCACAAAAAAAAGAAAGAAAAUACAUAGGUUCCUGAAUUUAGAAUAUUAAAAUAUGCUGAAUUUAAAUGACAUCUGAUUUUUUACCCACUAGCUAAGAGCUUUCUAGGGGGAAAAUGCUGAAUAUGUGGAAAAGUUUAAUUACUCUAUGAAUUAGAAGAAAUUUUCUUGUAAUAAGACCAUUCAUGGAAAUGGUGCCUCAAGGGCCCUGUGAACUCUACAACCCAAGAUGUAAAAUUUAUAUCUCACCAUCAUUUUCUCUCCCAAGACAGACUGUCCCUGAAGUGUUGUCUACUGUUGUGGAGGCAAUCACUGUCAUUCCCAGGCACUGAGCCUCGAAACUGCAGAGUCAAAGGUGACCUCCUUUUCCCUGGCCGCUCACACCACCUCCAUCGAUUCUCCCUGGGCAGCACUUCUGCUGCCAGUGGCGUGACUUGGUCACGCAGGCCCUUCCUCUGGGCCACAGCCACUGUCUUCCAGCCAAUUGACCUUCUGAUUCCAGCUGUGGCUUCUCUCAACUUCCCACAGACGGCCUGAGACUGUGCCGACAGCAGAAUUGAUUCCUAUGAUCCUGAAUGUAAAGUCUGAGUAUCAAAUCUGCAUCUCUUGGGACCAUUGCAAGCUGCAGAAAAUGAGAAGACCCUACUGACCAGCCCAAGAAGACAGAUGACAAGAUACUGAGGUUGGGAUUCCCUAAGGAAAUGAUCCAGCAGAUCACUCCAAGAUAGAGUCAACCCCAAACCAUUAGGGUGCUCUUUAUUUUUUAUUAUUAUUUUUAUUUAUUUAUUUUUGAGACGGAGUCAUGCUCUGUUGCCCAGGCUGGAGUGCAGUGGCGCAAUCUCGGCUUCAUUGCAACCUCCACCUCUCGGGUUCAAGUGAUUCUCCUGCCUCAGCCUCCCGAGUAGCUGGGAUUACAGGUGUGCACCACCAUACCCAGCUAAUUUUUGUAUUUUUUGAAGAGAUGGGGUUGCACCAUGUUGGCCAGGCUGGUCUUUAGUCUCCCAUUCUCAAAUACAAGCAUAUAACCAAUGACCAUCAGCCACCUCAGAAAAACUUCUAACAUGAUAGAGGGAUAAAAAUAAAAAGAGGCUGGGGGCAGUGGCUGGGCGCAGACACUCUGUCACCCAGGCUGGAGUGCAAUGGCAUGAUCUCAGCUCACUGCAACCUCUACAUCCCAGGUACAAGAGAUUCUCCUGCCUCAGCCUCCAGGGUAGCUGGGACUACAGGCACACGCCACCACGCCCGGCUAAUUUUUUGUAUUUUUAGUAGAGAUGGGGUUUCACCAUGUUAGCCAGGCUGGUCUUGAACUCCUGACCUCAGGUGAUUCACCUGCCUAGGCCUCCCAAAGUGCUGGGAUAACAGGCGUGAGCUACUGCACCUGACAAAAAAGAUUUUUUUUUUAAUAUUAAAGAACUAGUCCAUAAGACCCAAUUUAAAACUUUUCUUUUUAGUAGUUCUAGACAGAAAGGAGAAAAAAAAAAUAGAAGAGAGGAUAUAUUCAUUGAAAUAAUUCUGGAAAUGUUAAGAAGUGAAGGACAUGAGUUUCCACAUUAAAGGUGUCUACAAUGGAUAAAACCAGACACACCGUCUGAGGCACAUUAUAGCGAAAUUUCAAAACAAUGGAGACAAAGAGAAAAUCGAAUGAGAAAAACAUGGUCAUACACAGAGGAUUAGGAAUCUGAAUGCCUUUUGAGUUCUCAAUUACUGCAAGGAAAGCUGAAAGACAGCAGGUCCAACCUCAAAGGGGGAAUAGUUUCCAGCCAAGAAUUCUAUAUCCAAAUCAAAUGCGUAGGGAGAAUGAAAACACGUUUGGACAUUAAAGGUCUCAAAAAGUUGUACUUUUUACAUGCCAGUUUCUUAGGAAUCUCCUAGAAGUUGUGUUUCCUGUGAAUGAAGGAGUAACUUUAGGAAACACAGGAUCCCAGAGACAUUUCACUCAAGACAGAGCUGGUGAUCCCAGGAUAACAGCUGUGAACUAGGUGGUAGAGAGUGAACUGUCCAAGGUAGGUGGGUAAGUAAGUGUCCUGCAGAGACUUCUUCAAAAAGAUGAACCUGAUAGCAAAUCCAAUGCAUCUGAAAGUCUGCGAGGCAAUAUAUUUGAGAUGGCAGAGAGUUUGAGAGUUGUUAGCGAAAUAACACAGAAAUCUAGAUGAAGAAAAUAAUAAAAAUUAACCAAAGGUGGCACUGGAAACAAAUAGCAAUUGCAGGAGAUGGCAUGGCUUGGCCAUGAACAGUGUUCACGUGGUUAUAAUAAUGCAAAAAAAAAUCAUCUAAAUAAAAAUCUGGUAUGUGUAUGUUAGGAGGGUGGGGGAAUGGGAAAGGAUGUUCCAGGAGAAGGUAGAAGCAAGCUCAAGCCUCAUCUUCCAUGGUACACAGUAAAGAGAUAAUAAGCAGCCAGGCAUGGUGGCUCACACCUGUAAUCCCAGCACUUUGGGAGGCCGAGGUGGGUGGAUCAUUUGAGGUCAGGAGUUCAAGACCAGCCUGGCCAACAAGGUGAAACCCCGCCUCUACUAAAAAUACAAAAACUGGCAGCCUCCUGUAGUCCCAGCUACCCAGGAGGCUAAAGCAGGAGAAUUGGUUGAACCCGGGAGGUAGAGGUUGCAGUGAGCCGAGAUCGCGCCACUGCACUCCAGCCUGGGGGACAGAGCAAGACUCCGCCUCAAAAAAAAAAAAAAAAAAGAGAUAAUAAGCAAAAUGGUGGGUUGGGGGUGCAGGGGCGAGCAGCAAUAUAAGUAUGCUAUUUAGAGAUACGGAGAUAAAUACCAAAUGAAUCACCUAGAAAAUCUGAAAGUGGUUGUUGCUUGAGAGGGGGAAAUGGAGGUGUGUUUGUGUUUGAGGAGGGUACAAGGAACUGCUGCUUUUUUGUUUUGUUUUGUUUUUUAAUAAACUUGGACUUUUUAACUGUCCAUGUAGAAUUUUGACAAAACUAAAAAUAAGGUUUAAAAUAGUGGUGACUGUAUCCAAGAAAGGAAAAAGCACAUCAACAACCUCAGCCAAAAAAUGUAGGGCAGAGGAAAGGAGAGGACUGGCAGGCAAACAGUAGUGACAAAUCCUUGUGAAGUGUCCUACUGGGUACUAGGUGCUAUGUUUGGUUCUGUAUCUUGUGUAAUCCACAUAAUAAACAUGUUGUAGUCACA